CACGUAGGCACCAAGCGUUAUCCGGAUUUAUUGGGCGUAAAGAGCUCGUAGGCGGUUUGUCGCGUCUGCUGUGAAAACUCGGGGCUUAACUCCGGGCCUGCAGUGGGUACGGGCAGACUAGAGUGCGGUAGGGGAGACUGGAAUUCCUGGUGUAGCGGUGAAAUGCGCAGAUAUCAGGAGGAACACCGGUGGCGAAGGCGGGUCUCUGGGCCGUAACUGACGCUGAGGCGCGAAAGCGUGGGGAGCAAACAGGG
rnacentral:rRNA from 1 species